UACGUAGGGUGCAAGCGUUAAUCGGAAUUACUGGGCGUAAAGCGUGCGCAGGCGGUUCCGCAAGUCAGAUGUGAAAUCCCCGGGCUCAACCUGGGAACUGCAUUUGAAACUACGGGGCUAGAGUGUGUCAGAGGGGGGUGGAAUUCCACGUGUAGCAGUGAAAUGCGUAGAGAUGUGGAGGAACACCAAUGGCGAAGGCAGCCCCCUGGGAUGACACUGACGCUCAUGCACGAAAGCGUGGGGAGCAAACAGG
rnacentral:rRNA from 1 species